rnacentral:rRNA from 1 species
AGAUGCCGCGUGAGUGAAGAACGCCUUUGUGUUGUAAAGCUCUUUUGUAGGGGAAGAUAAUGACUGUACCCUAAGAAUAAGGUCCGGCUAACUUCGUGCCAGCAGCCGCGGUAAUACGAAGGGACCUAGCGUAGUUCGGAAUUACUGGGCGUAAAGCGCGCGUAGGCCGUUGAGUUAGUUAAUUGUGAAAUCCCAAAGCUUAACUUUGGAACUGCAAUUAAAACUGCUCGACUAGAGUUUGAUAGAGGAAAGCGGAAUACAUAGUGUAGAGGUGAAAUUCGUAGAUAUUAUGUAGAACACCAGUUGCGAAGGCGGCUUUCUGGGUCAACACUGACGCUGAGGCGCGAAAGUAUGGGUAGCAAAGAGGAUUAGAUACCCUCGUAGUCCAUACCAUAAACGAUGAUUGCUAGAUGUUGGAAAUUUAUUUUCAGUAUCGCAGCUAACGCAUUAAGCAAUCCGCCUGGGGAGUACGACCGCAAGGUUAAAACUCAAAUGAAUUGACGGGGACCCGCACAAGCGGUGGAGCAUGUGGUUUAAUUCGAAGAUACGCGCAGAACCUUACCAACCCUUGACAUGUCUGUUGCGAGUU